rnacentral:rRNA from 1 species
AGAACGAACGCUGGCGGCAUGCCUAACACAUGCAAGUCGAACGAGACCUUCGGGUCUAGUGGCGCACGGGUGCGUAACGCGUGGGAAUCUGCCCUUGGGUUCGGAAUAACAGCGAGAAAUUGCUGCUAAUACCGGAUGAUGACGUAAGUCCAAAGAUUUAUCGCCCAAGGAUGAGCCCGCGUAGGAUUAGCUUGUUGGUGAGGUAAGAGCUCACCAAGGCGACGAUCCUUAGCUGGUCUGAGAGGAUGAUCAGCCACACUGGGACUGAGACACGGCCCAGACUCCGUACGGGAGGCAGCAGGUGGGGAAUAGUUGGACAAGUGGGA